CUGGCCAACUUGGGGACGGAGGCUAAACUUCUACCAGGACCUGGCAAACAUACAACCCAUUUCUGUCUUCUCAUUGGUAACAGACCAUCAUCAAACCUGGCUGUAGCAGGGUCAGGACCUGAGGUUCAGAGACUCCAAGCAACUUGCCAUAAGACACACAGCAAGCCAGCCAAGGAAAGUGAGAGUGGAAACCAGCCCCAGACUCCGCUCUGGACAAAGACACAAACUCAUCAAAAGGCAAGGAGUCCUGGGGGUCAGAGGCCUGUCUCCUGCAUCUUCUCUGCUGCCUCUGCCCUCAGCCUGCGGAUACAAUCUGGAGGGUGGUACCUAUCAGACUUGGCGGCAGUUACAGAUUCUCAGUCUCUAAUGAGAUGCAUAUGGGUCUUCUGGCUGCUAGGAGCUGAUGGGAGUGGUGAUCACAAAAGUGCUGAGCUCUACUUCUGAUGGACAUAAAGGAUGCUGUGUCUACCCCAAAGUGUCACUAGUACUGAGUAAGUAUUAUCUCAUGGCCAAGCUCCAGUGGCCUUCAAGGACCAGCCCCCAACCUGCUCCUCCAACUCACAGUCAAAGCAGCUUUGCAGGAUCAGAAGCACUAUCAUUUUGGUAAGAACCAACUGGUUCAAGGCCUCCACCAGGCUGAAGAAGUGGCUGCUCUAGGGCCAUGCCAGACAGGCUGGCCUUGCACUAGCUUGCUAUUUGUAGCAGUCGGAGUUCACUCAAAGAAGCGAUCCAUGGUACAUGUUAUGGAUAAGGGAUUUAUUUCAGAAAUUAGACCUUACACAGUUGUGGCAAGAACUUGGAAAGUAGAGAUCUAAAAAAGACAUUGGAGGACCAGAGUAAAAUCAUUGUCUAUUCAUCCUGAACUACUGGUACAGGUAGACAAGUCAGAGCUUGCAGGAGAAUCUGAGAAGCCAAGCACCUCAGUCAUUUAAGUAGGACCAUAAGAAGGAAACUCGUGGAGAGGUCUCUAGGAAGUUGUGGCCACUGAGGGUCCACAUCCAAGCAUUCAGUUGUGGACCAGGGGUUACUAUUGGUCCCAGGGCCAGCUUUUGGUAAGAUGAGUUUACCAAGGAAAACAAAGACAAAUUAGGACCCACUGGAUGCUCAACAUCUAGCCAUAUGAACAUGAGGACUUUCAAUCAAACAGUAGGGACUGCUACUUCACUUCUGAAGGCCAAAUCACAAAACAUACAAAGAAGGAGACUCUGGGAAACAGUUCCCACCUUAACCAAGUUGGGAUUAUUUUAGGAAUAAGGAAUUUAUUUUAGGAAUUGAACCUUACACAAGUGUGGGAAGAACUUUCUGUCAAGUUGACAAUACCACAAUCCAGCCACCAUUGGGGCAAAACAUCAUUAUUAUGUAUUUUUCCUUAUGAUUUCCUCUUUAAUCCAUGAAUUAUUGAGAGUAGUUUUAAAAAUUACAAAUGCGUGAAAAGACUUCUAUUUCUGGACAUGAUUGAGUAACAGGUACUAGAACUACCUCUCCACUACAAUGAUAAAACAGAACAAAAUUUAUGAAGCAACUCUUUACAAGCAUCAGACAACAGAGAGUGUGUAUUAGCUUGUUAGGGCUGCCAUAACAAAAUACCACAUACUGGGUGGCUUAAAUAACAGAAGUUUAUUUUCUCAUAGUUCUGGAGGCUGGAAGUCCAAGAUCAAGGUGUCAGCAAGUUUGGUUUCUCCUGACGCCUCUUUCUGUGGCUUGCAGCUAGUCACCUUCUCAUUGUGUCCUCACAUGGUCUUUUUUCUGUGUGUACUCAUCCCUGGUGUCUCUCUUGUUAUUCAAAUUUCCUCAUCUUACAAGGACACCAAUCAGACUGGAUUAGGGCCCACUCAUAAGACAUCAUUUUAACUAGAUCACCUCUUUAAAGGUCUUAUUUCCAAAUGCAGUCACAACCUGAGAUAUUAGGGGCUAGUCUUCAAUAUACAAAAUUGGGCAGGGGUAAACACAGUUCAGCCCAAAACACAGUGUAAGAAAUUAUUGAGAGAAGAGAAACAUAGGAAGUGAUAUUUCUGGCCAGGAGUGCUUUCCAAUCUGUAACUCAGGUAAGUGGAGUCCAAGCAGAGAGCAGCAACCCCUGUGGUGGAGGAAACAAAGAUCAGAAGUGUGGGCUGUUAAGGAAGCUGAGGAAUUUGAGAGGCACAAAUUUGAAAGAGGAAAAAUCUCUAGAGAACGGAGCCCCAGAAAUCUAUAUAGAGGUUCCCUUGAGCCAUUGCCAAUUACUGACAUGCACAUACACAGAGUGAGACUCUUGAGACAUGGCAGAAAGCAGCUACUCGUGGCUGUGAGAUGAAUGAACAUUCAGGAGCUUGUACCAUGCUGGGAGAUAUUGGAGUUGCAACCAUGCAGAGUGGAACUGCCUAAAGGUAUACUCCAGGCUCCCCAAACAACCCCAUAUUAGGAAUAGGGCAAUACUAUCCCUAGAGCAAGAGCCACUCUUGAUUUACGAAAUAGCCAAAACCAAAUCUUAACAGAAUUAAGCUGAUAUGGCAAUAAGUUAGCCCCAUGUCAGAACAAAUAUCAAAACUCUUUAAAGGAAAACAACAUAAUGUAGACUAUCAACUAUCUAGCAUCUUUUAAGUUAUAUUAACACCCAGCAUAGAAUCAAGUUUUACUGGACAUGUAAAGAAACAGGAGAAAAUGACUCACAAUCAGAGAAGAAACAGUCAAGAGAAACAUAUCCAGAGAUGAUGUAGAUGCUAGAAUUAAUAAAAAGACUUUAAAACAGUAAGCA
rnacentral:lncRNA from 1 species